rnacentral:rRNA from 1 species
UACGAAGGGGGCUAGCGUUGCUCGGAAUCACUGGGCGUAAAGCGCACGUAGGCGGAUCGUUAAGUCAGGGGUGAAAUCCUGGAGCUCAACUCCAGAACUGCCUUUGAUACUGGCGAUCUUGAGUUCGGGAGAGGUGAGUGGAACUGCGAGUGUAGAGGUGAAAUUCGUAGAUAUUCGCAAGAACACCAGUGGCGAAGGCGGCUCACUGGCCCGAUACUGACGCUGAGGUGCGAAAGCGUGGGAGCA